rnacentral:tRNA from 1 species
GAGAAAGUCAUAGAGGGUAUAAAGGUGGCUUGAAACCAGUUUUGGGGGUUUGAUUCCUUCCUUUCUCG